rnacentral:rRNA from 1 species
AGCGGCGGAUGGGUGAGUAACACGUGGGGAACCUGCCCCUAAGUCUGGGAUACCAUAUGGAAACAGGUGCUAAUACCGGAUAAUAAAGCAGAUCGCAUGAUCAGCUUUUGAAAGGCGGCGUAAGCUGUCGCUAAGGGAUGGCCCCGCGGUGCAUUAGCUAGUUGGUAAGGUAACGGCUUACCAAGGCGACGAUGCAUAGCCGAGUUGAGAGACUGAUCGGCCACAUUGGGACUGAGACACGGCCCAAACUCCUACGGGAGGCAGCAGUAGGGAAUCUUCCACAAUGGACGCAAGUCUGAUGGAGCAACGCCGCGUGAGUGAAGAAGGUUUUCGGAUCGUAAAGCUCUGUUGUUGGUGAAGAAGGAUAGAGGUAGUAACUGGCCUUUAUUUGACGGUAAUCAACCAGAAAGUCACGGCUAACUACGUGCCAGCAGCCGCGGUAAUACGUAGGUGGCAAGCGUUGUCCGGAUUUAUUGGGCGUAAAGCGAGCGCAGGCGGAAAAAUAAGUCUAAUGUGAAAGCCCUCGGCUUAACCGAGGAACUGCAUCGGAAACUGUUUUUCUUGAGUGCAGAAGAGGAGAGUGGAACUCCAUGUGUAGCGGUGGAAUGCGUAGAUAUAUGGAAGAACACCAGUGGCGAAGGCGGCUCUCUGGUCUGCAACUGACGCUGAGGCUCGAAAGCAUGGGUAGCGAACAGGAUUAGAUACCCUGGUAGUCCAUGCCGUAAACGAUGAGUGCUAAGUGU